ACGGAGGGGGCAAGCGUUAUUCGGAAUUACUGGGCGUAAAGCGCGCGCAGGUGGUGCGAUAAGUGGCAGGUGAAAUCCCUCGGCUUAACCGGGGAACGGCCUGCCAAACUGUCGAACUUGAGGCUGGGAGGGGGGAGCGGAAUUCCGGGUGUAGCAGUGAAAUGCGUAGAUAUCCGGAGGAAGACCGAUGGCGAAGGCAGCCCUCUGGGAUAGUUCUGACGCUCAUGCGCGAAAGCGUGGGUAGCAAACAG
rnacentral:rRNA from 1 species